CACGGGGGGGGGGGCGGUGUCCUUCAGCCUGGAUUGUGAGAGGGCACAGCCAGGCUGAGGGACCCCACCAGUACAGG
rnacentral:pre_miRNA from 1 species